rnacentral:rRNA from 1 species
UACAGAGGUCUCAAGCGUUGUUCGGAUUCAUUGGGCGUAAAGCGCACGUAGGCGGUCUGUUAAGUCGGGUGUGAAAGCCCUGGGCUCAACCCAGGAAGUGCACUCGAAACUGACAGGCUUGAGUACGGAAGAGGGUCUCGGAAUUCCCGGUGUAGAGGUGAAAUUCGUAGAUAUCGGGAGGAACACCAGUGGCGAAGGCGGAGACCUGGGCCGAUACUGACGCUGAGGUGCGAAAGCGUGGGGAGCAAACAGG